UACGGGGGGGGCAAGCGUUGUUCGGAAUUACUGGGCGUAAAGGGCUCGUAGGCGGCCAACUAAGUCAGACGUGAAAUCCCUCGGCUUAACCGGGGAACUGCAUCUGAUACUGGAUGGCUUGAGAUUGGGAGAGGGAUGCGGAAUUCCAGGUGUAGCGGUGAAAUGCGUAAAUAUCAAGAGGAACACCUGCGGCGAAGGCGGGUUGCUGGGCCGACACUGACGCUGAUGCGCGAAAGCUAGGGGAGCGAACGGG
rnacentral:rRNA from 1 species